UGGGGAAUAUUGCACAAUGGAGGGAACUCUGAUGCAGCGACGCCGCGUGAGUGAUGAAGGAAUUCGUUUCGUAAAACUCUGUUCUAUGGGAAGAAAAGGACUGUACCAUAGGAGAAAGCUCCGGCUAAAUACGUGCCAGCAGCCGCGGUAAUACGUAUGGAGCGAGCGUUGUCCGGAAUUAUUGGUCGUAAAGGGUGCGCAGGCGGCUUUGCAAGUUGGAUGUGAAAUAUUGUGGCUCAACCACAAACGUGCAUCCAAAACUGCAAAGCUUGGGUUAAGGAGAGGUAAGUGGAAUUCCUGGUGUAGCGGUGGAAUGCGUAGAUAUCAGGGGGAAUACCGGUGGCGAAGGCGACUUACUGGACUUAAACUGACGCUCAGGCACGAAAGCGUGGGGAGCAAACAGG
rnacentral:rRNA from 1 species